GUGGGGAAUAUUGGACAAUGGGCGCAAGCCUGAUCCAGCCAUGCCGCGUGAGUGAUGAAGGCCUUAGGGUUGUAAAGCUCUUUCAGUGGGGACGAUAAUGACGGUACCCACAGAAGAAGCCCCGGCUAACUUAGUGCCAGCAGCCGCGGUAAUACGAAGGGGGCUAGCGUUGUUCGGAUUUACUGGGCGUAAAGCGCACGUAGGCGGAUCGUUAAGUCGGGGGUGAAAUCCUGGAGCUCAACUCCAGAACUGCCUUCGAUACUGGCGAUCUUGAGUCCGGAAGAGGUGAGUGGAACUCCUAGUGUAGAGGUGGAAUUCGUAGAUAUUAGGAAGAACACCAGUGGCGAAGGCGGCUCACUGGUCCGGUACUGACGCUGAGGUGCGAAAGCGUGGGGAGCAAACAGGAUUAGAUACCCGGGUAGUCC
rnacentral:rRNA from 1 species